CCGAGAUGAGCGGCACAGCUCCAGGCCCCAUUUGCACCUGCUUUCUUCAGUGACUCACAGUACCAACUGCUGCAGCUGUUUUUCAGAUGAGAUUGACAUUUUAAAAGAUGAACUCCGAGUAAAGCAGAUUACCCUCCACAGUGUAAGUGUGUCCCACCCAGCUAGGUGAAAGCCUGAUGAGAAAGAGGAUGGACCUCCCCAGCAUGCAGGAAUUCCACAGCAGUGUCUGGACUCGGGCUGAGACUCUUCCCUGAGUCCCGGCCCGGACUGGGGCUUACACCCCCACAGCCAGUUGUCAGGUAGUUUAUCCCGGUGGUGAGAAAGCGAUUAGGACACUGGCCAUCCAUCCUCCAGGAAGACAGCCUCCACCAGGAACCCAAUGGGUAGCCAACUUGAUAUUGGACUUCCAGACUCCAGAACCUUCUGUGGUUUAAGCAUCCCCAAGUGUGGUAUUUGUGAGGGAAGCCUGAGCUGAGACAGCUAUUAACUCUUUCAGACACUGCUUCAUUACCCAUUAAUACCCAGCCCAGUGCCUGGAAACAAGAAGCCAUCCCAUCACAUAUCUGUGGAAUAAAUAAGUAACAGGAUGAGUGAGAAUAUCAAUUUCUAAAUCAAACAUUUCAGCAGUGUUCAGAAUUCAAACUGCUGCACAUCCCUGGACAUGGCUGGGUCUUCAACAAUCGCUCCUAGAAGAUGAAAGAAGUGUUCUGGGUCAGACUUUCUGGGACUUGGCCUUGGCACGGCUGCCUGGGGACACCUUGACAUCACUGAAGAGAAGCUCCUCCUUCUGCUGUCAGUGGGCCCUGGCUUUUUGCUGCCUUCUGGGAACCCAUGGAAACAGUGCUCUCAGCAAAGGUCCCAGAGCCCAGGCAGGGAGAGGAGGCAUUGCAUUGACCUCUGCUGAGCACAACCUUCCUUGGCUUCUGAGGAAAAAAACCUCAGCAAACUCCCUAGCUUCACUUGCACUUAGUUGACUUAAAUAUCAUUAAUUUUGGAGGUCACACAGCUGAGCAAUACACUAUUAGUCUCCUACCAACUUUGCUGUAGGUAACAACUGUACCACGAGAGUUAUGAAGACAGUGGCUGCCUCGCCACUCUUAAGGGACUUGAAGUCUGCUUUUGCUGAAAACACUUCCCCGCGUCUGCAGGCAUCUGAUGAGUGACUGGAAGGGGAUGAAACUCUUGGCAUUUUUGUCUUCAUACUGUGUCUGUCUCCACGGCCACCUUAACCUUUGCUUCGGAGUCUACUGAGCUCUGCACAUAGAAGUGUUGACCAUUUGAUAAACGUUUUGUUCAAAACUGUAAUUCAGGAUCAAUUUGGCCUCUCUUUCUCUUUCAAGGCUAAUGACACUAUUACAGACAGCUAAGCUAGUUAGAAAUAUUAUAGGCAGUCAGACAGAGCUAGGCCCUCGAAGAAGCCAGUGCAGAAGAUAAGAACUCAUGUAGUGGGUGGAGGGGCAUUCAUUAAAGGUCAGAACUCAAAACAAAGAUGAAAUGACUACACCUACUUCCCCAGGUGUUAUAGUUUGGGUCUGGAUGUUCCCCCAAAGCCUCAU